CUUCACUGUGCCCUUAACUUUUCACUUUUCAGUUCAACCUCAUUCAGAAAAACACCCCAAGGAACAGCCUUUCCCCCCCUUCCCUGUCCAGAUUCACUGGAUAGAUGCACUCCUGAAACUCUGGAGUUUGCCUGGGUAACUCAUCUCCACCACCCUCUAACAAAGGAAGGCUCACAGGGGAAAGAACUGCAAUUGCAUUUACUGGAAUAUCUGAUGCAGGUGGAACGUACAUGGUCAGGUAACAGGAACCUUUUGCCACUGCUUGAAGGACUCUUCCUCCUCCCCUACUCCGGUGAUGCCUUUUAUAAAAUGGAUUAAAACUUUCAAUACAAGUAUUUUAUAAACCAG